rnacentral:rRNA from 1 species
GAUGUACGCUGGCGGCGUGCCUAAUACAUGCAAGUCGAGCGAACGGACGAGGAGCUUGCUUCUCUGAUGUUAGCGGCGGACGGGUGAGUAACACGUGGAUAACCUACCUAUAAGACUGGGAUAACUUCGGGAAACCGGAGCUAAUACCGGAUAAUAUUUUGAACCGCAUGGUUCAAAAGUGAAAGACGGUCUUGCUGUCACUUAUAGAUGGAUCCGCGCUGCAUUAGCUAGUUGGUAAGGUAACGGCUUACCAAGGCAACGAUGCAUAGCCGACCUGAGAGGGUGAUCGGCCACACUGGAACUGAGACACGGUCCAGACUCCUACGGGAGGCAGCAGUAGGGAAUCUUCCGCAAUGGGCGAAAGCCUGACGGAGCAACGCCGCGUGAGUGAUGAAGGUCUUCGGAUCGUAAAACUCUGUUAUUAGGGAAGAACAUAUGUGUAAGUAACUGUGCACAUCUUGACGGUACCUAAUCAGAAAGCCACGGCUAACUACGUG